rnacentral:rRNA from 1 species
AGAGUUUGAUCCUGGCUCAGAGCGAACGUUAGCGGCAGGCCUAACACAUGCAAGUCGCACGAGAAUUGGGCUUCGGCCCAUAGUAAAGUGGCGGACGGGUGCGUAACACGUGGAUAAUCUGCCCUUCGGCGGGGGACAACAGUCCGAAAGGAUUGCUAAUACCGCAUACGUCGGCGAGCUCUUCGGAGCACGUCGGGAAAGAUGGCCUCUUCAUGAAAGCUAUCACCGAAGGAUGAGUCCGCGGCCCAUCAGCUAGUUGGGGGGGUAAUGGCCCACCAAGGCGAAGACGGGUAGCUGGUCUGAGAGGAUGAUCAGCCACACUGGAACUGAGACACGGUCCAGACUCCUACGGGAGGCAGCAGUGGGGAAUAUUGGGCAAUGGGCGCAAGCCUGACCCAGCCAUGCCGCGUGAGUGAUGAAGGCCUUCGGGUCGUAAAGCUCUGUGAGGAGGGAAGAACAAGCCUGUGGCUAACAUCCACGGGCCCUGACGGUACCUCCUAGCAAGCACCGGCUAACUCCGUGCCAGCAGCCGCGGUA